CAGUAAAUAGUUUAAAUAAAAUAUUAAUUUUGGAGAUUAAAGUUAAGCAUUAGCUUUUUACUGA
rnacentral:tRNA from 1 species